AAUGACCCCAAGUCGGCACUUGGUUCUGCAGUCCUGUGCAAUGUGUAUGCUGUUACCAUCAAUGGGGAUUAGGUGUAUGCACCAAGGCUGCAGGACAGAGUGGGUCUUUCCAGCCUGCCCCAUUCACCACAGUCCUUUCCCCAAAGGAUUUCCCGCUGCAGCUGCUUUUCACAGGGCCAGGAUGGUAACAGUUUUAACGGGAGGGUGGCUUCUCUUCCCUUUUCUUCUGCUCACUUUUUCACUUACACCCACCUUCCCUCAACUUGAGCCCUGACUACAGGUGAAUAAACUGCCUGCUGGUUCUGCUUCCUUGCCUUCCCCAGCUGAUGGCACAGAGGAGGUCACAAGUCACUGGAAAUAAAGGGGACCCUUAAAGAGGAGACUGUCAUUGCCCGGAUGGCUGGGCAGAGAGAAGAUUCUCCUCUGCCAGGAGCCAGCAAAAGUUGAAGAUCCCAUGAUCUUGCUACACCCUUUCUGUGUCGAGCCGCUGGGGUAUCCCACAGAUGGGGGCUUGCACAAAGGGGCUUCAUAAUCCAGGGCUGGAGCCAUCACAAGCUGUUACCACAGGCGUUUUAUUCAAUUGACUCUCCCCACAGUAAUAAGGUGCUUUAAUUAUCGCCAGAGGCUGCAAGUGAAGGCACCAUCCCAUUUGUAGCAGCAUCUCAUCAUGGCAGGAGGGAGUGGGGCAAUGAGAGGACCUAGAAGGAGCAAAGCCCAAAUGAUCUCCAUGACUAGCACAACUAGCAGGAGAGUUCACAGCAGGACAAGGGAAAGGCUGAACUGAACGGGGCCCGAUUCAGAAAGGGAUGCAAGCCAGCACCUAACUAACUCUAAACAGCAGUUGCUGAGGCCACAGCGUGUGUGUGGAAAGAGCCAGGACACUUCACAACUGUGUGCUAUUUAAACAGAAAACAUGCAAGAUUUUGUUGCCGGGGUGGGGGGAGGAGGAUCAAAUGAAAGGCAUGGUGCGCUUUUGCUUUGACUCUGCCUCCGACCCGAAGCGAACAAAGGCAACAUUAUACCUUGUGCUGGAAAAGGAGUGACUUGGAUGCACAUGCAGAGCAGUUCCUGCAUGCUGGGCUCCUUAUAAAUAUCCCCAUUGGUAAAGGCUGAAGUCAAGCUGACCGCAGAAUGAUCUGCCCACCUAAUAAA